GACGAACGCUGGCGGCGUGCUUAAUACAUGCAAGUCAACUGAACUUAAGAUAGCAAUAUUUUAAGGGAGGUGGCGCACGGGUGAGUAACACGUAGGUAAUCUGCCUUUAGGUCUGACACAACCCCGAGAAAUCGGGGCUAAUAUCAGAUGAUGCAGCGGCUCGACAUCGAGACAGUUGUUAAAACCUUCGGGGCCUAAAGAUGAGCCUGCGUCUGAUUAGGUAGUUGGCGGAGUAAAAGCCCACCAAGCCUGCGAUCAGUAGCUGGUCUGAGAGGAUGAUCAGCCACACUGGAACUGAGACACGGUCCAGACUCCUACGGGAGGCAGCAGUAAGGAAUAUUGCUCAAUGGCCGAAAGGCUGAAGCAGCAACGCCGCGUGGAGGAUGAAAUACUUUUGUAUGUAAACUCCUGUAAGAAGGGAAAAAUAUUCCGAUUUAUCGGGAUUGAUUGUACCUUCAGAGUAAGCCCCGGCUAACUACGUGCC
rnacentral:rRNA from 1 species